GAUGAACGCUAGCUACAGGCUUAACACAUGCAAGUCGAGGGGAAACGAUAUUGGAAGCUUGCUUCCGAUAGGCGUCGACCGGCGCACGGGUGAGUAACGCGUAUCCAACCUGCCCACCACUUGGGGAUAACCUUGCGAAAGUAAGACUAAUACCCAAUGACGUCUCUAGAAGACAUCUGAAAGAGAUUAAAGAUUUAUCGGUGAUGGAUGGGGAUGCGUCUGAUUAGCUUGUUGGCGGGGCAACGGCCCACCAAGGCUACGAUCAGUAGGGGUUCUGAGAGGAAAGCCCCCCACAUUGGAACUGAGACACGGUCCGAAACUCCUACGGGAGGCAGCAGUGAGGAAUAUUGGUCAAUGGGCGAGAGCCUGAACCAGCCAAGUAGCGUGCAGGAUGACGGCCCUAUGGGUUGUAAACUGCUUUUAUGCGGGGAUAAAGCGGGCGACGUGUCG
rnacentral:rRNA from 1 species